AUGUUAUUUUCCAGCCAGAGAGAACCGAACUACGAUAGUAGCGGACUGCAGGAAAUAGCGAGAAGCUGUGGACGAUGUUGGUCGCUUCGAACGUCGCUGCGAGCGAGGACGACGACGAGGACGAUAACGUGAGCGACAAUGACGAAGACGACGACGAUGACGAUGAGGAGAAGGGCGACGACGACGACGACGGCGGUGCAUUACCGGUGUACAUGGUCGAUCUCAAUAUCGCGGUGAGCUUAUUUGUAGACACUCGCACACGCGAACAGAAACGUCCAAACGUGUUCCGAUGCCCUGCGAUCGAACGUCAGACAAUAUCCCGAUGCAAGGAUUACCAUAAUAUCCGCGAGGCUCGAAUUCGAAAACGGUCGCAGCAAAGGCGAAAUUAGAUCGUCACUGGUAAGAACAUAUCGAUCCUCGAUGUUGUUGCUCUAGAGGAACUUUAUCGGAACUGUAUUUUGAGAAACCGUGGGAACAAUGGUUGUGAAAUAGAUUCGCUACUUUUUCUUAGAUAUUUUUUUUCUUUCUAUUGAACACGCGUAUUCAUGAUGUGUCGAUAAAAAAGCAACUUUGAGAAAACAGAAUUCUCCCGGACUUUUAUGUGAUUUUCCACAAACAAAGGUUAUUUAUAGCGUUCUCAAAUUAAUCAACGAAAAA